AGAGUUUGAUCAUGGCUCAGAAUCAACGCUGGCGGCGUGCCUAACACAUGCAAGUCGAACGCGAAAGUCCCGCAAGGGAUGAGUAGAGUGGCAAACGGGUGAGUAACGCGUGGGCGAUCUGCCUUCGAGUGGGGGAUAACUUUCCGAAAGGAGAGCUAAUACCGCAUGACAUCCCGUGUUUGGAUACACGGAGAUCAAAGCCGGGGUCGCAAGACCUGGCGCUUGAAGAGGAGCCCGCGUCCGAUUAGCUAGUUGGUGGGGUAACGGCCCACCAAGGCUCCGAUCGGUAUCCGGCCUGAGAGGGCGGACGGACACACUGGGACUGAGACACGGCCCAGACUCCUACGGGAGGCAGCAGUGGGGAAUUGUUCGCAAUGGGCGCAAGCCUGACGACGCAACGCCGCGUGGAGGAUGAAGACCUUCGGGUCGUAAACUCCUUUCGACCGAGAUGAAGACACGCCGACCUAACACGUCGGCGUGCUGACAGUAUCGAGGGAAGCAGCCCCGGCUAACUCCGUGCCAGCAGCCGCGGUAGUACGGGGGGGGCAAGCGUUGUUCGGAAUUACUGGGCGUAAAGGGUUCGUAGGUGGCCGGCUAAGUCAGACGUGAAAUCCCUCAGCUUAACUGGGGAACUGCGUCUGAGACUGGUCGGCUCGAGGGCCGGAGAGGAACGUGGAAUUCCAGGUGUAGCGGUGAAAUGCGUAGAUAUCUGGAGGAACACCGGUGGCGAAGGCGGCGUUCUGGACGGCAUCUGACACUGAUGAACGAAAGCCAGGGGAGCAAACGGGAUUAGAUACCCCCGUAGUCC
rnacentral:rRNA from 1 species